UAGGUUUAGUCCUUAGUACCAAAGCAAAAAAGUUUGUUAUGUCUGAAACUUCUUAGUCUCCUUGUAUAACUUUCUUUAUUGGGAUACCACGCAUCAAAAGAUAACUUGUGCCAGGCAGUGAUGGCACACACCUUUAAUCCCAGCACUUGGGAGGCAGAGGCAGGCAGAUUUCUGAGUUCGAGGCCAGCCUGGUCUACAGAGUGAGUUCCAGGACAUCCAGGGAUACACAGAGAAACCCUGUCUCGAAAAACAAAAAUAAAUAAAUAAAAAAAAAUAAAAAGAUAGCUUGUAAAUAUGUUCUGGACACACCUUGAACACACCCCUCCUUUUUCUUUAGCCUUUCAAGUAGCUGGAAUUACAGACAUGUGCCACCAUGGCUGACUUUUGUCAAUAGUCUUUAAUUGUUUUAGUGACUUGUCUGAAUUCAGAUGAUCUCCUUUAAAUUAUUAUCUCCUCCAGGUCCUGAAUUCUUGACCAUAUUUGUACUACUCCUUCAAUAUCACCAGUGUCUAAGCUUAGAACAGUGUGUAGCUUUGUGUGUAUUUCAGACAGGGUCUCUCUGUAGCCUAAGUGGCCUCAAACUCAUAGCAACUCUUAAGCCUUCCAUUGAUAGAAUUACAGAUUUGAGCCAUCAAGCCUUAGCUGGAUACACCCAGUUCUACCAAUGUGACUAAACAUGGAUUUGUUCUGAUAUUAUUUUAAUUCUAAUUGCUUAUUAUCCUGGUGAUGGGGCAGUGGUUGCUACUGCUGUUGUUGCUUUUAUAUUCCCCAUUGUGAGAACAUAUAGUUGUGAUAUGAGAGUUCUUUUUUUUUUUUUAAAAGAUUUAUUUAUUUAUUAUAUGUAAGUACACUGUAGCUGUCUUCAGACACACCAGAAGAGGGAAUCAGAUCUUGUUACAGAUGGUUGUGAGCCACAAUGUGGUUGCUGGGAUUUGAACUAAGGACCUUUGGAAGAGCAGUCGGGUGCUCUUACCUGCUGAGCCAUCUCACCAGCCCCGAGAGUUCUUUUAAUAUAUAUUCUUACCAUAUUUUGACUUCAGCCUAUUUCUAAAUCUUGGUAAGCAACAGAAACCUGGUUUUUUGUUUUUGUUUUUUCUCUCUCAGAUAAUUGGAGAUUUAAUCUUUGAUAAGUAUUUUUGAAAUGAUUCUCUUGAAAACAAUUUAUCAUUGGAUAUAUACCAUGACUGGUUUGGCUUUUCUGUUUUAUACACUACAUUUUUGUACAUUAUGAAUAGAGUCUUUAUUGAUGCCUUCGUCUGUUCUCUGAAUUUUCUGUGGCUGAUAGGAAAUAUUCAUUCUUGUGCUUUGAGAGAAAAUUAAAUUAGCUGGCUGGCUUAGAACUUAGUUUGUGGUCAAGGCUAGACUUGAACUCCUGAUUCUUGUGUCUUAGCUUCUAGAAUGGUGGGCUUUUUAAGCAAAUGCUAUUUUACCCAGCUGGAAGAACCUUUGUUUCUAGAGAUCAAAAGUUAUAACUGUUUUAUAAUGUGUGCCAGUGGCAGUUAGACAGUUACAGCAUGUUCUUUCUAGGCUAUUUUGAUUUGUAUUUGAUUAGUUUUACAGUGAAUUUUUAUAUGUAAUGUCUCUUAUGAAAUGGGAUUUCCUUGUCUUUGUUCACUUUUUCUUAAUUCAUGGUUCUGUGUUUUUAGUUUGUUCUUUGUCUUGCUUAACUAUUGAAUGGGCCAGAACAUUCAAAGAUGUCAUUCCUUAAAGAGUGUUGAGUUCUCUAAUAACUAAUGUGUUGGAUCCUUGAACUUACUCCCCACCACCCAUCCUUUUCUUUUUUGAAUAGCUUUGACAGAUCCAAAUGCUUCUGCUGCCCAGCAGGCUGUUCUCCAGCAGCACCUCAAUAGCCUAACAUACUCACCCUUUGGAGACUCCCCCCUCUUCCGGAAUCCUAUGUCAGAUCC
rnacentral:lncRNA from 1 species